rnacentral:rRNA from 1 species
CAGCCGCCGCGGUAAUUCCGGCACCGCGAGUGGUCGGGGUGAUUAUUGGGCCUAAAGCGUCCGUAGCCGGGCUGGUAAGUCCUCCGGGAAAUCUGGUCGCUUAACGAUCAGACUUCCGGAGGAUACUGCUGGCCUAGGGACCGGGAGAGGCCGAGGGUAUUCCCGGGGUAGGGGUGAAAUCCUGUAAUCCCGGGAGGACCACCUGUGGCGAAGGCGCUCGGCUGGAACGGGUCCGACGGUGAGGGACGAAGGCCAGGGGAGCGAACCGGAUUAGAUACCCGGGUAGUCCUGGCUGUAAACGAUGCGGACUAGGUGUCGGGCAAGCUAAGGGCUUGUCCGGUGCCGCAGGGAAGCCGUUAAGUCCGCCGCCUGGGGAGUACGGCCGCAAGGCUGAAACUUAAAGGAAUUGGCGGG